rnacentral:rRNA from 1 species
UACGUAGGGUGCGAGCGUUGUCCGGAAUUAUUGGGCGUAAAGCGCUUGUAGGCGGUUUGUCGAGUCUGCCGUGAAAAUCCGGGGCUCAACCCCGGACUUGCGGUGGGUACGGGCAGACUAGAGUGUGGUAGGGGAGACUGGAAUUCCUGGUGUAGCGGUGAAAUGCGCAGAUAUCAGGAGGAACACCAAUGGCGAAGGCAGCCCGCUGGGACGGUACUGACGCUGAGACGCGAAAGCGUGGGGAGCAAACAGG